rfam:Candidatus Wildermuthbacteria bacterium RIFCSPLOWO2_01_FTLL_48_16 rifcsplowo2_01_scaffold_2144, whole genome shotgun sequence.
GCCGGUGUAGCUCAGCGGUUAGAGCGCUGGAAUCAUAAUCCAUUGGUCGGGGGUUCGAAUCCCUCCACCGGCA